rnacentral:rRNA from 1 species
UACAGAGGGUGCGAGCGUUAAUCGGAAUUACUGGGCGUAAAGCGUGCGUAGACGGUUAUUUAAGUCGGGUGUGAAAGCCCCGGGCUCAACCUGGGAAUUGCAUUCGAGACUGAAUAGCUAGGGUACGGUAGAGGGAAGUGGAAUUUCCGGUGUAGCGGUGAAAUGCGUAGAUAUCAAGAGGAACACCUGAGGCGAAGGCGGGUUGCUAGGCUGACACUGACGCUGAGGCGCGAAAGCUAGGGUAGCAAACGGG